rnacentral:rRNA from 1 species
CGGCUGUGGAGUGUAUAGAAGUGAGAAUGCCGGAAUGAGUAGCGCGAAUGCAGUGAGAAUCUGCAUGGCCGAAAGCCUCAGGUUUUUGGAGGAAGGUUCGUCCGCUCCAAGUUAGUCGGGAGCUAAGGUGAGGCCGGAAGGCGUAGCCGAUGCACAGACGGUAGAGAUUCCGUCACCACCAAAAGAGUUAAGCACAGGGACACAUUUGAAGUCUCAGAGCCGGGUGUUGGUUCCGGUAGAGAUCGAGGGAAAUUAGUACCGAAGUCCGGGAUGGAAGAUGGCGAGAAAAGCUGUGUGUAUUUCUGAGGUGCCCGUACCGCAAACCGACACAGGUAGGUAGGAAGAAGAUUCUAAGGCCAACGGGAGAAGGGUUGUUAAGGAACUCGGCAAAUUGACCCCGUAACUUCGGGAGAAGGGGUGCUCCAGAGAUGGAGCCGCAGAGAAUCGGCCCAAGCAACUGUUUACCAAAAACACAGGUUUGUGCUAAAUCGAAAGAUGACGUAUACGAGCUGACGCCUGCCCGGUGCUGGAAGGUUAAGAGGAGAUGUGCAAGCAUUGAAUCGAAGCCCCAGUGAACGGCGGCCGUAACUAUAACGGUCCUAAGGUAGCGAAAUUCCUUGUCAGGUAAGUUCUGACCCGCAUGAAAGGCGUAAUGAUUUGGGCACUGUCUCAACAGCCCGCCCGGCGAAAUUGUAGUACCGGUGAAGAUGCCGGUUACCCGCGACAAGACGGAAAGACCCCAUGGAGCUUUACUGUAGCCUAAUAUUGGGUUUCGGUGUUGCAUGCACAGGAUAGAUGGGACGCUAGGAAGUGAGUGCUUUGGCAUUCAUGGAGCGGCCGUUGGGAUACCAUCCUUGCGACAUUGGAAUUCUAACCUGCGCCUUUGAAUCAAGGCGGGGGACAUUGUUAGGUGGGCAGUUUGACUGGGGCGGUCGCCUCCUAAAGAGUAACGGAGGCGUUCAAAGGUUCGCUCAGCUUGAACGGAAAUCAAGCAAAAGAGUGCAAACGCAGAAGCGAGCCUAACUGCGAGACUGACGGGUCGAGCAGUAACGAAAGUUGGAGUUAGUGAUCCGGUGGUAUGUGAGUGGAAAUGCCAUCGCUCAACGGAUAAAAGCUACCCUGGGGAUAACAGGCUGAUCUCCCCCAAGAGUCCACAUCGACGGGGAGGUUUGGCACCUCGAUGUCGGCUCAUCGCAUCCUGGGGCUGUAUUCGGUCCCAAGGGUUUGGCUGUUCGCCAAUUAAAGCGGUACGCGAGCUGGGUUCAGAACGUCGUGAGACAGUUCGGUCCCUAU